GGAUGAACGCUAGCGGCAGGCCUAAUACAUGCAAGUCGAGGGGCAGCACAGGUAGCAAUACUGGGUGGCGACCGGCAAACGGGUGCGGAACACGUACGCAACCUUCCUUUAAGAGAUGAAUAGCCCGAAGAAAUUCGGAUUAAUGCAUCGUAAGAUUGUGGGAUGGCAUCAUCCAGCAAUUAAAGAUUUAUUUCGCUUAAAGAUGGGCGUGCGCCUGAUUAGGUAGUUGGUGAGGUAACGGCUCACCAAGCCGACGAUCAGUAACUGGCGUGAGAGCGCGACCAGUCACACGGGCACUGAGACACGGGCCCGACUCCUACGGGAGGCAGCAGUAAGGAAUAUUGGUCAAUGGACGCAAGUCUGAACCAGCCAUGCCGCGUGAAGGAUGAAAGCCCUCUGGGUUGUAAACUUCUUUUAUCUGGGAAGAAACCACCUUUUUCUAAGGGU
rnacentral:rRNA from 1 species